UUACAGCCAUAUCAAGUUGAAACACCAGUUCCCAUAUGAUCACUAAAGUUAAGCAAUGUCAAGUCUGAUCAGUACCUAGAUGGUUGACUACUUGGAAAUAACAAGUGCUGUAA